AGUAGUUUGAUCAGUGGCUCGAGGACGAACGCUGGCGGCGUGCUUAACACAUGCAAGUCGAACGGACGAUGAGGGGCUUGCUCCUCAAAGUUAGUGGCGAACGGGUGAGUAAAACGCAGAUAACCAACCUCUAGGAUUGGGACAACAAGUCGAAAGAUUUGCUAAUACCAAGUGGAGUGUCAGAACCGCAUGGUUUUGAUAUAAAAGGCAGCCUCUUAAUAAUGCUGCCGCCAAGAGCUGGGUCUGCGGCUGAUUAGCUGGUUGGUGGGGUAAAGGCUUACCAAGGCGACGAUCAGUAGCCGGUCUGAGAGGAUGAACGGCCACAAUGGGACUGAGAUACGGCCCAUACUCC
rnacentral:rRNA from 1 species